AGGAUGUGAUGAAUUGCUUUAAUUUCUGACACCUCGUAUGAAAGCUGCACUUGCAGUCUUGCAAGACUGAGGCUU
ensembl:snoRNA